AUUGAACGCUGGCGGCAGGCCUAACACAUGCAAGUCGAGCGGAUGAAGGGAGCUUGCUCCUGGAUUCAGCGGCGGACGGGUGAGUAAUGCCUAGGAAUCUGCCCGGUAGUGGGGGAUAACGUCCGGAAACGGGCGCUAAUACCGCAUACGUCCUGAGGGAGAAAGUGGGGGAUCUUCGGACCUCACGCUAUCAGAUGAGCCUAGGUCGGAUUAGCUAGUUGGUGGGGUAAAGGCCUACCAAGGCGACGAUCCGUAACUGGUCUGAGAGGAUGAUCAGUCACACUGGAACUGAGACACGGUCCAGACUCCUACGGGAGGCAGCAGUAGGGAAUAUUGGACAAUGGGCGAAAGCCUGAUCCAGCCAUGCCGCGUGUGUGAAGAAGGUCUUCGGAUUGUAAAGCACUUUAAGUUGGGAGGAAGGGCAGUAAGUUAAUACCUUGCUGUUUUGACGUUACCAACAGAAUAAGCACCGGCUAACUUCGUG
rnacentral:rRNA from 1 species